rnacentral:rRNA from 1 species
GACAGAGGGUGCAAACGUUGUUCGGAAUUACUGGGCGUAAAGCGCGUGUAGGCGGCUAAGUAAGUCGGGCGUGAAAUCCCACGGCUCAACCGUGGAAGUGCACUCGAAAACUGCAUAGCUAGAGUCCUGGAGAGGAAGGUGGAAUGCUUGGUGUAGAGGUGAAAUUCGUAGAUAUCAAGCGGAAACACCGGUGGCGAAGGCGGCCUUCUGGACCAGUGACGUGAACGCUGAGACGCGAAAGCGUGGGGAGCAACAGGGAUUAAGAUACCCGGUA